rnacentral:rRNA from 1 species
AUUGAACGCUGGCGGCAGGCCUAACACAUGCAAGUCGAGCGCGCGGCGGACGGGAGAGUAAUGUAUGGGGACUGCCCGAUAGAGGGGGAUAACUACUGGAAACGGUGGCUAAUACCGCAUACUAUGGUGUCACCCAUAUGGGAUUAGCUAGUAGGUGGGGUAAAGGCUCACCUAGGCGACGAACUAUAGCUGGUCUGAGAGGAUGAUCAGCCACACUGGGACUGAGACACGGCCCAGACUCCUACGGAGGCAGCAGUGGGGAAUAUUGCACAAUGGGCGCAAGCCUGAUGCAGCCAUGCCGCGUGUAUGAAGAAGGCCUUAGGGUUGUAAAGUACUUUCAGCGGGGAGGCGUUACCCGCAGAAGAAGCACCGGCUAACUCCGUGCCAGCAGCCGCGGUAAUUC